rnacentral:rRNA from 1 species
ACGUGCCUACGGGGGGCAGCAGUGGGGAAUAUUGCGCAAUGGGCGAAAGCCUGACGCAGCGACGCCGCGUGAGGGAUGAAGGUCUUCGGAUCGUAAACCUCUGUCAGCAGGGAAGAACGGUCACUGUGCUAAUCAGCAGUGAAUUGACGGUACCUGCAAAGGAAGCACCGGCUAACUCCGUGCCAGCAGCCGCGGUAAUACGGAGGGUGCGUGCGUUAAUCGGAAUUACUGGGCGUAAAGCGCUCGUAGGCGGUAUGUCAAGUCAAGGGUGACUUCCCCUCGCUC